rnacentral:rRNA from 1 species
GACGAACGCUAGCGGCGUGCUUAACACAUGCAAGUCGAACGAUGAACCCGGAGCUUGCUCCGGCGGAUUAGUGGCGAACGGGUGAGUAACACGUGAGUAACCUGCCCUUGACUCUGGGAUAACUGCUAGAAAUGGUAGCUAAUACCGGAUACGACCCUCGGUGGCAUCACCAGGGGGUGGAAAGAAUUUCGGUCAAGGAUGGACUCGCGGCCUAUCAGCUAGUUGGUGAGGUAACGGCUCACCAAGGCGACGACGGGUAGCCGGCCUGAGCGGGUGACCGGCCACACUGGGACUGAGACACGGCCCAGACUCCUACGGGAGGCAGCAGUGGGGAAUAUUGCACAAUGGGCGCAAGCCUGAUGCAGCAACGCCGCGUGAGGGAUGACGGCCUUCGGGUUGUAAACCUCUUUUAGUAGGGAAGAAGCGAAAGUGACGGUACCUGCAGAAAAAGCACCGGCUAACUACGUGCCAGCCGCCGCAGUAA